ACUACCAAGGAUUCCCCUAGUACGGCGAGUGAAGCGGGAAUAGCUCAAAUUUAAAAUCUCAUAGGUUUCCUAUGCGAAUUGUAGUUUAGAGAAGUGUUUUCUGUAGUAAGCUAGGCAAAAGUCCCUUGGAACAGGGCAUCAUAGAGGGUGACAAUCCCGUCUUUGGUCUAGUCUUUACUGCUUUAUGAUACACUUUCAAAGAGUCGGGUUGUUUGGGAAUGCAGCCCAAAAUGGGUGGUAAAUACCAUCUAAAGCUAAAUAACGGCGAGAGACCGAUAGCGAACAAGUACCGUGAGGGAAAGAUGAAAAGAACUUUGAAAAGAGAGUUAAAUAGUACGUGAAAUUGUCAAAAGGGAAACGCUUGAAACCAGUGAUGAUUUGAGAUAUCUUUAGUUCUUUUGGGAACUAGGGCUCUAUUUCAAGUCAAGUCCAUAUCAGUUUCUUUUGAGUGAAAAAGCUAAGGAAAGGUAGCCUUUGGGUGUUAUAGUCUUUAGUUCCAACUUGAAAGAGACUGAGGUCGAUAGUGUGAUCUUGGAGGAACUGGUCGCUCUUUGACUUUAAGUUAUAGACAACAUGUUGACUAUGAUUUACGGAAGGAGACACGGCUAGCUACUACUUUUACACUUUGGAUAUGGACGAAAUGGUUUUAAACGACCCGUCUUGAAACACGGACCAAGGAGUCUAACACAUAUGCGAGUAUUUGGGUGGUAAACCCUUAUGCGUAAUGAAAGUGAUAAGGUGGGAUCUUUAUUGUGCACCAUCGACCGGUCUGGAUAUUUUUUGAAAGAUCUGAGUAAGAGCAUAUUUGUUGGGACCCGAAAGAUGGUGAACUAUGCCUGAAUAGGGUGAAGCCAGAGGAAACUCUGGUGGAGGCUCGUAGCGGUUCUGACGUGCAAAUCGAUCGUCAAAUUUGGGUAUAGGGGCGAAAGAC
rnacentral:rRNA from 1 species